rnacentral:rRNA from 1 species
AGUGAACGCUGGCGGUAGGCCUAACACAUGCAAGUCGAACGGCAGCACAGUAAGAGCUUGCUCUUACGGGUGGCGAGUGGCGGACGGGUGAGGAAUACAUCGGAAUCUACUUUUUCGUGGGGGAUAACGUAGGGAAACUUACGCUAAUACCUCAUACGACCUACGGGUGAAAGCAGGGGAUCUUCGGACCUUGCGCGAUUGAAUGAGCCGAUGUCGGAUUAGCUAGUUGGCGGGGUAAAGGCCCACCAAGGCGACGAUCCGUAGCUGGUCUGAGAGGAUGAUCAGCCACACUGGAACUGAGACACGGUCCAGACUCCUACGGGAGGCAGCAGUGGGGAAUCUUGGACAAUGGGCGCAAGCCUGAUCCAGCCAUACCGCGUGGGUGAAGAAGGCCUUCGGGUUGUAAAGCCCUUUUGUUGGGAAAGAAAAGCAGCAGGUUAAUACCCCGCUGUUCUGACGGUACCCAAAGAAUAAGCACCGGCUAACUUCGUG